UACGGAGGGUGCAAGCGUUAAUCGGAAUUACUGGGCGUAAAGCGCACGCAGGUGGCUGAGAAAGUCGAUUGUGAAAGCCCUGGGCUUAACCUGGGAAUUGCAGUCGAAACUACUCGGCUAGAGUAUGGGAGAGGACAGUGGAAUUCCCGGUGUAGCGGUGAAAUGCGUAGAUAUCGGGAGGAACAUCAGUGGCGAAGGCGGCUGUCUGGCCCAAUACUGACGCUGAGGUGCGAAAGCGUGGGGAGCAAACAGG
rnacentral:rRNA from 1 species